AUACCUUUCUCUGCUUUUUGUCCAAGAUCAAGUGUAGUAUCUGUUUUUAAUAGUUUAAUAUCAAAUAUAUUGACCAUGUGCUUAUUUUGAUAUUAAAAUUUUUGUGGGGCACCACAGCGGCUUCAGUGGUUUGUGGCUUGCUAUUGGAGUCCUCGAGUGUCGCCUAGCCGUUGCACUGCUGGCAGGGCACGGCGCAAUAAUU